rnacentral:lncRNA from 1 species
GGCGGAAGGGGCGGGGCCGGCGGCGGAAGUGGAGGGGGGGAAACGGAAGCGGAGGGCCGAGGGGCGGAAGUGGAGGGUGAGGGGCGGAAGUGGAGGGCGAGAGCCGGAAGUGGAGGGAGAGGGGCGGAAGUGGAGGGCUGUGGGCGCCGCCAUCUUGGGAGGAGAGGGGGGAGGGAGGCGCGAGGGGUGAUGGGAUAUUGGGGACAUUGGGGGUAAUGGGGGCAAAGGGGGUUAUGGGGAUAAUGGGGUUAUGGGGAUAAUGAGGGUGAUGGGGGGCAUUGGGGGCAAUGGGGACAAUGGGACUAAGGGGGACAUUGGGGUCAAUGGAGGUAAUGGGGGUAAUGGGAACAUUGGGGGCCAUUGGGGUCAGUGGGGGCAAUGGGGGUAAUGGGGGCAAUGGGGAGAUUGGAGGUAAUGGGGGCAUUGGGGACAUUGGGGAUAAUGGGGUAAUUAUAGGGACAUGGGGUCAAUGGGGACAUGGGGGUCAUUGGGGUCAAUGGGGACAUUGGGGCCAUUAUGGGGCCAUUAUAGGGACAUGGGGGGCAAUGGGGUGAAUGGGGACAUUAUAGGGACAUGGGGGGCAAUGGGGACGUUAUGGGGACAUGGGGGGCAAUGGAGACAUGGGGGACGUUGGGGUCAUUGGGGUCAAUGGGGACAUUGGGGAACAUUGGGGUCAAUGGGGACAUUAUAGGGACACAUGGGGCAAUGGGGACAUUGGGGUCAUUUGGGUCAAUGGGACAUUAUGGGGAGAUGGGGGAUAUUGGGGUCAAUGGGGACAUUAUAGGGACAAUGGAGGUAAUGGGGACAUUGGGGGACGUUGGGGUCUCUAUAGGGACAAUGGGGGUAAUGGGGACAUGGGGGGCCAUUGGGGUCAAUGGGGGCAAUGGGGCCAUUGGGGCCAUUGGGGGCCAUUGGGGUCUCUAUGAGGACAAUGGGGACAUUGGGGUCAAUGGGGACCUUAUGGGGCCUUUGGGGAACAUGGGGGUUUCUAUGGGGACAAUGGGACAAUGGGGCUAAGGGGGACGUUGGGGUCAAUGGGGGUAAUGGGAACAUUGGGGGCCAUUGGGGUCAGUGGGGGCAAUGGGGGUAAUGGGGGCGUGGGGGACAUUGGGGUCUCUAUAGGGACAGUGAGACAAUGGGGGUAAUGGGGACAUUGGGGGACACUUGGGUCAAUGGGAACAUUAUAGGGACAUGGGGGGCAAUGGGGUCAAUGGGGACAUUAUAGGGACAUGGGGGGCAAUGGGGUCAU